UGUUGUCUGUCAUCUGUCAAUAAUAAAAGUCUUGUUUACUUGUAUAAAUAAUCUAAGAAAUAAAAUAAACUUUACUAAAAUACAAUAAAUUCCAUGCAUUGUCUUAAAUUUAUUUUCAAGCCGGAAUCAUGACGUGCGAAAUAGAACAAUUUGCUGAUUGUGGUGAUAUUUCAAGCCUUGGGCGAGCACUCUUUGUUCCUGAAAAAGAAGAUACGAACUGGUUAACCCAAUGUCCAAUGUCUUUAUCAUCUUGUGGCAACUUGCUUGCAGUGGGGCACAGAAAUCGAUUGAGUUUACUGACUACUCAGUGGAUCAGUUCGACUGAUAGCAACACAUACAUAGUGUCAUGGAGUGGGACACUGCCUACGGAAAUAACAGUUAUUUUGGUUUUACCUAUUUGCCCAUCUCAACAGUCAUCACAGAAUGGUCCGGACUGGUUUUGUGUAAUUGUCGGAUUUAAAAAUGGUAGUGUUGGGUUUUACACUAACACGGGCCAUUUGCUACUUCUCGAGAAGCUGGACGACAAACCAGUCAUGAAAAUAACAUGUCACACAGGCACAUACGGGACUCUACCUGAUGAUAUCAAUAUCCUCUUUCAAAAUUCUGAAUGUAUUAUUUCUGGAGCCAGCCUAUUUCAAACUCUUAAGAUUGCAAAAGCUCAAUUGGCUAGAGUUCAAGCAGGUAUUCUCAAUGAGUACACAGUUGAUAAUCGCAACAUCAAUAUCAGGAAAUGGUCAUUUACAUCCGAACAGGAAACCAUCAAUGAUGCUGAAGUAGUUGGCUUGGAACUUAAGAACACAUAUGACCAUUUGUUGGCAGCAUCCACAUAUGGUGGAUAUGACACAUGGUAUCGUUCAAUACCUCCUGUAAACUCCCUAAUAUUGGGGGCAGGACUGAAGCCCUACAUAGGCUUCCAUUACGCGCUUGAAGGCGGCACCACACCUCCUCUUCAGGACGUGGCCAGGGCUGUGGCUAAUAAAAUUAAAUCAGCUUUACCGGGGUGGCUAGGGGGUAGCAAUGCUGAGAAUGUCCCAACCAACACAGAACCUCUGCUGCGUUCGGAGAACUUGUCGAUGCGCAAUGGUUUGUACGACAGCCAGAGGCAGGGCACCUCAGUGGUCGUGUCGCCGGACCGCCGGCUGGCCGCCGCCGCCGACAGCUUCGGCCGCGUAGCUGUGCUCGAUGUCAAAAAAGGAUAUUUGAUCCGCUUAUUCAAAGGGUGUAGAGAUGCGCAAUGUGGAUUUGUACAGAUAUUUGACGUAGAUAACAAGAAACCUCAGUUAUCUGUAGUCAAGGAAAUUAAACGAGCAAUAUUCCUUAUCAUCUACAAUCCUAAGAAAGGUUUAAUAGACAUAAGGCUAAUGCAGAGAGGAAACCGUGUAGCCGUGUUUACGGCGACGAAGAACGGACGAUUACUUUACAACACGUGCGGGCUGGUCGGCGCUGAAAAAAAUUAUACUCACAAAAAGCUGAACUUGCCCGAGUUUCAAUGUGUGCUCAUCGAUCCUGACGGCAAACUGAAGAAGUUCAACAUUCCAUUCUUUUACGCCCUGGACGGAGAACAUUCGCAGAGAUCCAAAGAUCUUCACACGUUGCGCGAACUGAGAGAGCACGUGAAAAAAGGCCCCGAACAUUCAGACCAAUUCUUAGAUGAAAUCAUCAAAAGGGCCUCUGAGUUGAAAACUUUAGAAUUGAAAAGACACUGUAUAGAUUUACUUCUGAGAAAGUAUAAUAUUCCGCCGAAGGUAAUCAUGUGUUGUUUGGAUUUUUAUUGGAAUUCUAUUGCUGAUGAUUCCAGUCCAGAAGGGCAAGAUGUCAGAAAUUAUUUUUCUAAUAUAGCGUUGAUAACGCUUUUCUAUAGGCAGAUAAAUAAUGAAGAGACUGCAGAUGUUCAAGAAUUUAUUUCUAAAAUCGGCGAUAGUCCCGAUGAAGAAGAUUUAGAUAACGUGAACGAGGACAAAGAACUAAACAGAGAAUUUAUUCUUUUAGAAGAUGACAAUUGUAUUUUGGAGAAAAUGUUGCAUUUAGCACAAGAAAAUUAUUACAAAGAUCACCAACAUGCCAAAGUUAAGUUUGCUGACUACAAUACCAGUAACUUCAAAGAAUUUGUAUCUUGUUUCGUUUUGGAUGGAAAAUCCAAAUUGAUAUCAUUAAAAUCGGACGCGUCUGAAGAUAAACUCACCGCUUUGGCUUCAAACAUAUUCAAAACAAUAUUUGGAAUGAAUGAUUUGAAAUUGUUAACACAAUUCGUGAGAAAGAGUAACAUUGAUCCAAAAGAUAUUGUCAAGUUGAUAAUUUUACAUAUAAUGAAUAUGCCAUUAGAACAAAUACAUAUAGAUCUGAUCGAGAAAGUGAUCGCAGUUCUUUAUUAUUUGUGUCAAGUGACCAAUGAUGCUGUGAAUAUUUGCUAUAAUGAAAUUUCUCCGUGGUGGGAAGGCAUCCGGGAUAUGUUGGCCGACAUGCCUUGUCCUCUAAGGAGCAUGAUAGUAGCAAUGGUGUGCAAAGCUGUUGGUAGGUUGUUUGAACAAAACUCCAUUGAAGAUGAAGCUUGGGAGUCUGUCACCAAGGAGAACGCCAAGUGGGGCAUGUUGAUUGGCAAACUCGAAGAUAUUUCCAUUCUGAGUAUUGUUCUACUCUUUAAAGAAGACUUCAAGGGAAAUUCAUUGCCGAAACUGUCAUUUGAUGAAUUAAAUAUAAAUUUAAAAUUCAUUUACACAAGAGGCAAGGGAUCAAUCACAGAAUUGAUAGCGAAAUGGCUUUGUGGCAUGGGAGUGUCGCCGGAGGCUGUGAUAGCUAAUGAGUUAAUGGAGAAGCAUGUGGCUAUAAACGAUUCUUCUUCAGAUUCAGAAGAAGAUGAUGACCCUUCUUACGUCUUUAUGGAAAACAAUCGGAAAUAUGUUGACGAUAAUCCAACCAUAUUCAAAUGGUUGUCAUUAUUAUGUCGCCAAUUUCCAUUGAGCACUGCGUCUAAUUACAUCAUUGCUAACAUGUGCUGGGAGUACGCGAUGGCAUGGCAAAAAAAUAUGCAAAAAACUUCAGAGUUGAAGGCUGUUAUUUCAUGCCUUGCUAAUUUAAGCGAUAUCCAUUUAAAACUUGGCUUGUUCUCCAUAAUAUGGUCUACUUAUAUUAAAAACGUGUUUGAAACGACUUGCCGGUUGGUGAAUAAGGUUGGAAGGUUGCCAAAAGAUCCUCUGUGUCUACAAGAUUUGGGUUUCAACAACACGAAUAUGUUGACUUUCCUUGAAUUUACAACAGAAUAUUUAAACCUUUACUUCAAGUGUUUGUCGACACCUACUGACCAAGCGAAAUGUGAAGUGCAAUACGAAAAAAUAUGGGAUGAGAAUACGCCAUCUUUGGUCGAAGUGGCUCAAGACACAAAACCCGUUAACGUUGACAUACUCAACUUAAAUUAUCAAAUAUCUUGUACUGUUUAUUACCAGUGCCACUAUAACUUGAAAUUUUCAAAGCCUCUGGACACUCUGUACGAUAUAGACUAUCAGUACAUAUUUGACGCGCUCACAGGAAACGUGGUCGUUAGAGAAAUAAGCCUAAAGGCGUCGGAAAAGUUGAGGACUCCGAGGAUGAAAUUUAUAACGAAGCUGAUUCGGGCCGCCAUCGAGACGAUAACUACCGUUGCUAGCGAAGGCCCGUUCAAGCAGUACGACGAUAGAGAGUGUUCGCUGUGGGCCGAGAAAAUCACUGUCUUAGCUGAACUGUGGAACGUCGACAUCGAUUUUGUUCGACGUCAACAGGUCAUAGGUUUGUAUCAUCUAGGCUACGACACGCUGGCGGAGAGCCUCGUUGGAUUGUUGAAAGAACCCGAGCAAGCGCAGCCAUCUUUGCUGGCCAUUACUAUACAACGCUUAAAGCGUAGCUUGGAACAUUCUAGCAAUCACAAAGAAUGGAUUGUUACAGUCUCGCCUAAUCUAUACAAGCGGCUUCAGAAUACGGCAAGUUUUUACUUUAUUUCUUGACAAAGAAACAUUUGUAACAAGCGUACUGAUCUUAAUUGCAUGGUUCAAAGAGAUAGUAUGCGUCAAUAAAUCAACUCAUAGCUCUUGUAUUGUAAUACAAACACAGCCAAGAGAAUGAAAGAUUGUAUAUUAACGGGUCGACACAAUUCCACAUGAACUCACAAAUGGUUUACCUACUAUAAGUGAUGACACAUACGAUAUAUGGCAAGAAACAUUUACGGCGCGGGAGCAUUCCAGCUCGACCUGCGUAGAAUAAUGUGUAGGUACUGGACACCUCGAUACCCGCCCAUCCUUCUCUCGCCACCACUAUGUCUGUUUUACAGAAACUAUUAUACCAAAUUCGCAAAAGACCGAAUGAUGUUCAAGACUUGCAAAAUAAUAAAUUAACUGAAAUUAUUUUAGAGAACUGUGAAGUAAUUUUAAAAAGAAAACUUUAAAGUUUAAUUACAUAUGAAUAAAUAAUUGUAAAUAUUAAUAACGUUGGUGUUAACACAAAUGGACUUGAGAAAACUAUUAAUUUGAUGAUUUUAUGAACAAUUACUGGAUAAAGAAUAAAAUGUAGGUAAUUACUUUAUUAAGGAAUCUAUAUAAAUGGCAUGGUGUUACUAUAAUUUAUUUCAUGACAUUUUAUCAAUAAGCUGUAAUAUAAUGUUUAAAACUAAAACCAUGAAGAAAUAAUAUAUUUGCUUAUUUUAUCUCC